UACGAAGGGGGCGAGCGUUGUUCGGAUUUACUGGGCGUAAAGGGCGCGCAGGCGGCCGGCCAAGUCAGGCGUGAAAGCCCCGGGCUUAACCUGGGAAUUGCGUCUGGGACUGGUUGGCUAGAGUUCGGGAGAGGAGAGUGGAAUUCCCAGUGUAGAGGUGAAAUUCGUAGAUAUUGGGAAGAACACCGGUGGCGAAGGCGGCUCUCUGGAGCGAUACUGACGCUGAGGCGCGAAAGUGUGGGGAGCGAACAGG
rnacentral:rRNA from 1 species